rnacentral:rRNA from 1 species
AUUGAACGCUGGCGGCAUGCCUUACACAUGCAAGUCGAACGGCCGCAUGAUCUAGCUUGUUCGCUUGAUUGCGCGUGGCGCACGGGUGUGUAAUAUAUCGAAACGUGCUCUGAGGCGGGGGUUAACUCGUCGAAAGAUUAGCAAAUACGGCAUACGUCUUGAGGGGGAUGGUGCGGGACUGCAAGGCGUUAUGCCUUAGGCUUGGCCGUUGUCCGAUUAGCUAGUUGGUGAGGUAAAGGCUCACCAAGGCGACGAUCAGUAGCUGGUCUGAGAGGUCGAUCAGCCACACUGGAACUGAGACACGGCCCAGACUCCUACGGGAGGCAGCAGUGGGGAAUUUUGGGCAAUGGGCGAAGGCCUGAUCCAGCAAUGCCGCGUAUGUGAAGAAGGCCUUCGGAUUGUAAAGCACUGUUAUCCGGAAAGAAAUGGCUCUGGUUAAUACCUGCAGUUGAUGACGGUACCGGAAGAAUAAGGACCGGCUAACUACGUG